GGAGAUGUGGCCGAGUGGUCGAAGGCGCACCCCUGCUAAGGGUGUAUACGGGGAACCGUAUCGAGGGUUCGAAUCCCUUCGUCUCCGCCA
rnacentral:tRNA from 1 species